UUGACCUCGGAUCAGGUAGGGAUACCCGCUGAACUUAAGCAUAUCAAUAAGCGGAGGAAAAGAAACCAACAGGGAUUGCUCUAGUAACGGCGAGUGAAGCAGCAAUAGCUCAAAUUUGAAAUCUGGCGUCUUCGACGUCCGAGUUGUAAUUUGUAGAGGAUGCUUCUGAGUGGCCACCGACCUAAGUUCCUUGGAACAGGACGUCAUAGAGGGUGAGAAUCCCGUAUGCGGUCGGAAAGGCGCUCUAUACGUAGCUCCUUCGACGAGUCGAGUUGUUUGGGAAUGCAGCUCUAAAUGGGAGGUAAAUUUCUUCUAAAGCUAAAUAUUGGCCAGAGACCGAUAGCGCACAAGUAGAGUGAUCGAAAGAUGAAAAGCACUUUGGAAAGAGAGUUAAAAAGCACGUGAAAUUGUUAAAAGGGAAGGGAUUGCAACCAGACUUGCUCGCGGUGUUCCGCCGGUCUUCUGACCGGUCUACUCGCCGCGUUGCAGGCCAGCAUCGUCUGGUGCCGCUGGAUAAGACUUGAGGAAUGUAGCUCCCUCGGGAGUGUUAUAGCCUCUUGUGAUGCAGCGAGCGCCGGGCGAGGUCCGCGCUUCGGCUAGGAUGCUGGCGUAAUGGUCGUAAUCCGCCCGUCUUGAAACACGGACCAAGGAGUCUAACAUCUAUGCGAGUGUUCGGGUGUCAAACCCCUACGCGUAAUGAAAGUGAACGGAGGUGAGAACCGCAAGGUGCAUCAUCGACCGAUCCUGAUGUCUUCGGAUGGAUUUGAGUAAGAGCAUAGCUGUUGGGACCCGAAAGAUGGUGAACUAUGCCUGAAUAGGGUGAAGCCAGAGGAAACUCUGGUGGAGGCUCGCAGCGGUUCUGACGUGCAAAUCGAUCGUCAAAUUUGGGUAUAGGGGCGAAAGACUAAUCG
rnacentral:rRNA from 1 species